rnacentral:rRNA from 1 species
GGCGGACGGGUGAGUAAUACUUAGGAAUCUGCCCAUUAAUGGGGGACAACUAGAAGAAAUUCUAGCUAAUACCGCAUACGCCCUACGGGGGAAAGCGGGGAUCUUCGGACCUCGCGCUAAUGGAUGAGCCUAAGUCGGAUUAGCUUGUUGGUGAGGUAAAGGCUCACCAAGGCGACGAUCCGUAGCUGGUCUGAGAGGACGAUCAGCCACACUGGGACUGAGACACGGCCCAG